UAAUUUAUAUAAUAUAAUUAGUAUAUUUAACUUCCAAUUAAAAAGAUUAACCUUGUUAAUAUAAAUA
rnacentral:tRNA from 1 species